rnacentral:rRNA from 1 species
GAUGAACGCUGGCGGCGUGCUUAACACAUGCAAGUCGAACGGAAAGGUCCAAGCUUGCUUGGGUACUCGAGUGGCGAACGGGUGAGUAACACGUGGGUGAUCUGCCCUGCACUUCGGGAUAAGCCUGGGAAACUGGGUCUAAUACCGGAUAGGACCACUUCUUGGAUGUUGUGGUGGAAAGUUUUUUCGGUGUGGGAUGAGCUCGCGGCCUAUCAGCUUGUUGGUGGGGUAAUGGCCUACCAAGGCGUCGACGGGUAGCCGGCCUGAGAGGGUGUACGGCCACAUUGGGACUGAGAUACGGCCCAGACUCCUACGGGAGGCAGCAGUGGGGAAUAUUGCACAAGGGGCGCAAGCCUGAUGCAGCGACGCCGCGUGGGGGAUGACGGCCUUCGGGUUGUAAACUCCUUUCGCUAGGGACGAAGCGUUUUGUGACGGUACCUGGAGAAGAAGCACCGGCUAACUACGUG